rnacentral:rRNA from 1 species
AUUGAACGCUGGCGGCAGGCCUAACACAUGCAAGUCGAACGAGUUGCGGACGGGUGAGUAAUGUCUGGGAAACUGCCCGAUGGAGGGGGAUAACUACUGGAACCGGUAGCUAAUACCGCAUCCCAUCGGAUUUUCCCAGAUGGGAUUAGCUAGUAGGGGGGGUAACGGCUCACCUAGGCGACGAUCCCUAGCUGGUCUGAGAGGAUGACCAGCAACACUGGAACUGAGACACGGUCCAGAAUCCUAAGGGAGGAAGCAGUGGGGAAUAUUGCACAAUGGGCGAAAGCCUGAUGCAGCCAUGCCGCGUGUAUGAAGAAGGCCUUCGGGUUGUAAAGUACUUUCAGCGAGGAGGCGUUACUCGCAGAAGAAGCACCGGCUAACUCCGUGCCAGCAGCCGCGGUAAUAC